rnacentral:tRNA from 5 species
GCCCUCGUAGCUCAGGGGAUAGAGCACCGGCCUCCGGAGCCGGGUGCGCAGGUUCGAAUCCUGCCGAGGGCG